GGGGCUGUGGCCAAGCCAGGCAUGGCGACUGACUCCAGAGGUGACGCCCGGUGACGAACUCCAGACUGAUAUACCGAGCGGGCGACUGAUCAUCGCCCGUGUUGACGACGUUCUGGAGUACCGAGGCAAACCGGAGAUAUCAGUCGAUCGGGGGUUCAAAUCCCUCCGGCCCCA
rnacentral:tRNA from 1 species